UCAAAUCUUUCAUCUUGAAUGUAGCUGGAGGACAUAUGGAUGAAAUCUAUCCAUCUGAUCAUUAGUUGAUCAAAAGUCAACAAUCUGACCAAAUCAUAUAAAAUAAUAAAAUAAAAUAAAUCGUUUGGUUACACUGUUAACUUUUGGUCAAUUGAUGAUCAAUUGGAUGAAUUUCGUCCACAUGUCCUUCGACUGCAAUAAAGACAAAAGGUUUGG
rnacentral:miRNA from 1 species